rnacentral:rRNA from 1 species
CCUACGGGUGGCUGCAGUGGGGAAUAUUGGACAAUGGGGGCAACCCUGAUCCAGCCAUGCCGCGUGUGUGAAGAAGGCCCUCGGGUUGUAAAGCACUUUCAGUGAGGAAGAACGCCUGGUGGUUAAUACCCAUCAGGAAAGACAUCACUCACAGAAGAAGCACCGGCUAACUCCGUGCCAGCAGCCGCGGUAAUACGGAGGGUGCGUGCGUUAAUCGGAAUUACUGGGCGUAAAGCGCGCGUAGGUGGCUUGAUAAGCCGGUUGUGAAAGCCCCGGGCUCAACCUGGGAACGGCAUCCGGAACUGUCAAGCUAGAGUGCAGGAGAGGAAGGUAGAAUUCCCGGUGUAGCGGUGAAAUGCGUAGAGAUCGGGAGGAAUACCAGUGGCGAAGGCGGCCUUCUGGACUGACACUGACACUGAGGUGCGAAAGCGUGGGUAGCAAACAGGAUUAGAUACCCUAGUAGUC